UGAAUUCCGGCAGCCAACGGACGUGGCUUG
rnacentral:piRNA from 1 species